rnacentral:rRNA from 1 species
GAUAAACGCUAGCGGCAGGCCUAACACAUGCAAGUCGAACGGUAACAGAAAGAGCUUGCUCUUUGCUGACGAGUGGCGCACGGGUGCGUAACGCGUAUGUAACCUACCUUUAACUGGGGAAUAGCUCAGAGAAAUCUGAAUUAAUACCCCAUAAUAAUUAUUUUUCGCAUGAUUAAUAAUUUAAAGCUUCGGUGGUUAUUGAUGGACAUGCGUGACAUUAGCUAGUUGGUAAGGUAAUGGCUUACCAAGGCUACGAUGUCUAGGGGGUCUGAGAGGAUGGUCCCCCACACUGGUACUGAGACACGGACCAGACUCCUACGGGAGGCAGCAGUGAGGAAUAUUGGUCAAUGGACGAAAGUCUGAACCAGCCAUGCCGCGUGCAGGAUGAAAGCCCUACGGGUUGUAAACUGCUUUUAUUUAGGAAGAAACCUUUCCACGUGUGGAAAGCUGACGGUACUAAACGAAUAAGCAUCGGCUAACUCCG